rnacentral:siRNA from 1 species
CAUCUAGUAGCUGGUUCCCUC